rnacentral:rRNA from 1 species
GGCCUACGGGGGGCAGCAGUGGGGAAUCUUCCGCAAUGGACGAAAGUCUGACGGAGCAACGCCGCGUGAACGAUGACGGCCUUCGGGUUGUAAAGUUCUGUUAUACGGGACGAAUGGUACGACGGUCAAUACCCGUCGUAAGUGACGGUACCGUAAGAGAAAGCCACGGCUAACUACGUGCCAGCAGCCGCGGUAAUACGUAGGUGGCAAGCGUUGUACGGAAUUAUUGGGCGUAAAGGGCGCGCAGGCGGCGUCGUAAGUCGGUCUUAAAAGUGCGGGGCUUAACCCCGUGAGGGGACCGAAACUGCGAUGCUAGAGUAUCGGAGAGGAAAGCGGAAUUCCUAGUGUAGCGGUGAAAUGCGUAGAUAUUAGGAGGAACACCAGUGGCGAAAGCGGCUUUCUGGACGACAACUGACGCUGAGGCGCGAAAGCCAGGGGAGCAAACGGGAUUAGAUACCCCAGUAGUCC